rfam:Oryza brachyantha chromosome 2, whole genome shotgun sequence.
AGCUGAUCCGGUAGCCAAGGAUGACUUGCCUAAAGCUGUGUGUUGCAUGUGUUUAUGAUCAUAUGCAUUUUCAUUCUCUUGGUCGAUCCUGAGUUCAUCUACAUGCGUGUUGUACAUACAUAUAUUAGGCAUGUCUUCCUUGGCUAUCGGAGUGGCUCU